CAGCACCUCAAGUGGUCAGGAUGAUUAUUGGGCCUAAAGCAUCCGUAGCCUGCUUUGUAAGUUUUCGGUUAAAUCCAUACGCUCAACGUAUGGGCUGCCGGGAAUACUGCACAGCUAGGGAGUGGGAGAGGUAGACGGUACUCGGUAGGAAGGGGUAAAAUCCUUUGAUCUAUUGAUGACCACCUGUGGCGAAGGCGGUCUACCAGAACACGUCCGACGGUGAGGGAUGAAAGCUGGGGGAGCGAUCCGGAUUAGAUACCCGAGUAGUCC
rnacentral:rRNA from 1 species